GCCAGAGCCAUAUCUCCCUGCAGUUCUCGCCUGGUUUCCCACUGACGCUGAGCAGGGUUGAGCUGGGCCAGGACCUGGAUGGGAGAUGGCCUGGGGAAAACUAAGGUUGCUGCUGGAA
rnacentral:rRNA from 1 species